AUUGAACGCUGGCGGCAUGCUUUACACAUGCAAGUCGAACGGUAACAGGGUGCUUGCACCGCUGACGAGUGGCGAACGGGUGAGUAAUGCGUCGGAACGUGCCGAGUAGUGGGGGAUAACGCAGCGAAAGUUGUGCUAAUACCGCAUACGUACUGAGGUAGAAAGUGGGGGACCUUCGGGCCUCACGCUAUUCGAGCGGCCGACGUCUGAUUAGCUAGUAGGUGAGGUAAAGGCUCACCUAGGCGACGAUCAGUAGCGGGUCUGAGAGGAUGAUCCGCCACAGUGGGACUGAGCCACGGCCCAGACUCCUACGGGAGGCAGCAGUGGGGAAUUUUGGACAAUGGGCGAAAGCCUGAUCCAGCCAUGCCGCGUGUCUGAAGAAGGCCUUCGGGUUGUAAAGGACUUUUGUCAGGGAGGAAAUCCCUAGUGCUAAUAACACUGGGGGAUGACAGUACCUGAAGAAUAAGCACCGGCUAACUACGUGCCAGCAGCCGCGGUAA
rnacentral:rRNA from 1 species